AUACGGAGGGGGUUAGCGUUGUUCGGAAUUACUGGGCGUAAAGCGUACGUAGGCGGAUUAGUAAGUUAGAGGUGAAAUCCCAGGGCUCAACCCUGGAACUGCCUUUAAUACUGCUAGUCUAGAGUUCGAGAGAGGUGAGUGGAAUUCCAAGUGUAGAGGUGAAAUUCGUAGAUAUUCGGAGGAACACCAGUGGCGAAGGCGGCUUACUGGCUCGAUACUGACGCUGAGGUGCGAAAGUGUGGGGAGCAAACAGGAUUAGAUACCCUGGUAGUCCACACCGUAAACGCUGUCUACUAGCUGUUUGUGAAUUUAAUUCGUGAGUAGCGAAGCUAACGCGAUAAGUAGACCGCCUGGGGAGUACGGCCGCAAGGUUAAAACUCAAAUGAAUUGACGGGGGCCCGCACAAGCGGUGGAGCAUGUGGUUUAAUUCGACGCAACGCGCAGAACCUUACAACCCUUGACAUAACUUGUCGCGGAUUCCAGAGAUGGAUUCCUUCAGUUCGGCUGGACAA
rnacentral:rRNA from 1 species